rnacentral:tRNA from 1 species
GGGGUUGUGGCUCAGUGGUAGAGUGCUCACCUAGCACGGGUGAGACCUGGGUUUGAUCCUCAGCACCACA